UGUUUAAAUAGACCGACAUUGGUCAUGUUCUGUUGAUCGAACGUUUCAGUUUGUGUUAGUCACAUGUAGAAGAGACUCGACAAGAUUUUCAAUACUAGAAAGGAUUCCUGCAGAAUUGGAGCAAAAUGGUGAAAAUUGUCCUGAAGUAUGGACCCAUCAGGAAAUGAAACGGCACCGGCUACAAUCUAGAUAGGGUCAAGGGCCUGAUGGCGGCUUUAACUUCUGCCGGUCACAAGGUCACCACUCAAAAGAUCCAGAAGGACAAUGCAUGUGAACUGUACGUUGAUUCCGAACUGGUGUGGUCUUGUAACAUCACAGAGUUUAAACAAGGAGCCAACGCUUCGCAUCCAAUGUGUGUAGCAGCUGUAAAUGCCGUUGACGCGUCUGGAGGGUCCAAAUGACCCUAAACCCUGACAUGAUAUGAUGCUGAAGCCGAUAGGUUUGACCUAUUAAACUACCUACGUCUGCAAUGACGGUUCCUUCUUAAACCAUAGACGAGUCGGAACUUGAUACACUCAGACUGUAGAAACAAAAAAUAAAAACUUCAUUAAUGAAA